GAUGAACGCUAGCGGCAGGCCUAACACAUGCAAGUCGAGGGGUAACUAGAGUGAUAGCAAUAUUACUUUGGCUAGACCGGCGCACGGGUGCGUAACACGUAUGCAACCUACCUUAUACUGGGGAAUAACUUCGAGAAAUCGGCGCUAAUACCCCAUAACACUGCGGAGAGGCAUCUCUUUGCAGUUAAAGCUCCGGCGGUAUAAGAUGGGCAUGCGUCCAAUUAGCUAGUUGGUGAGGUAACGGCUCACCAAGGCUACGAUUGGUAGGGGUUCUGAGAGAAUGAUCCCCCAAACUGGUACUGAGACACGGACCAGACUCCUACGGGAGGCAGCAGUGAGGAAUAUUGCGCAAUGGACGAAAGUCUGACGCAGCCAUGCCGCGUGCAGGAUGACGGCCCUAUGGGUUGUAAACUGCUUUUGUACGGGAAUAAACCCUUCUACGUGUAGGAGGCUGAAGGUACCGUAAGAAUAAGCACCGGCUAACUCCGUGCCAGCAGCCGCCGUAA
rnacentral:rRNA from 1 species